rnacentral:rRNA from 1 species
CACGUAGGGCGCAAGCGUUGUCCGGAAUUAUUGGGCGUAAAGAGCUCGUAGGCGGUCUGUUACGUCUGCUGUGAAAACCCAGGGCUUAACCCUGGGCUUGCAGUGGAUACGGGCAGACUAGAGGCAGGUAGGGGAGGAUGGAAUUCCCGGUGUAGCGGUGAAAUGCGCAGAUAUCGGGAGGAACACCGGUGGCGAAGGCGGUUCUCUGGGCCUGACCUGACGCUGAGGAGCGAAAGCGUGGGGAGCGAACAGG